rnacentral:lncRNA from 1 species
AUGCCUACAAGCAAGCUUACCUUGCGACCCUGGAUCAGCUCUCCCGCUCACUUUCCAUUGCUGAAUUCCCUAUCUGACUACCACUGUGUCUCUUUUAGCAUUGUUCACCCGCCCUCUCUUCCUUGGCCCGUUAUUCAGCGCUUCAUAAAUUCUAAUCUGUCAACAUCUAUACUACUCAUCCGUAGUAUAGAUUUGCUCUAAGUCCCCUACUCCUGCCCUCUCUUCCCUCUUCUCUAUUGUAACAGUUAUUGACCUUCUCUACCUUCCUUGACUACUGUGACCCACUCACCUAUUGCAAGGAAAACUUCCAGACUAAGGGGCUGAGUCAGAAUCAGACUCCAGUUUGCCAAACUGUCUUCUUCUCUACCACCUUUUUAUAGACACCUGUACAAGCAUUCAAGUGAAUGGGAUUUUAUAGGUAGAACAGAUCCUAAUCAAGUUUAGGCAGAAUGAGGACCGUUUUAAGCAACCUAGAGUCAUGAAACCUUCCAUGUUUUCAGUAACAUGCCCCAGGUUAUGAGUAAGGUAAUGAUUUUAGACAAACGUUAUAUUUCUGAUACUAGAAGUUUAGCUUGAAAAAAAUCAACACAUUGUAUAACAAAAAACAGUUCCCAAUUCUCAUCUUACAUUGGUCUAAAUCAAAGGUAACUCCAUUUAAGUCAGUGAAGUUACACUGGUGCAAAACUGGUGAGACACAAAUGAGGUCUUGAGCCUUAUUCUGAAUUUACUGUCAUUAGCUAAAACUAUUAUUGUCAUGUGUUUCCUACAAACAAUACUUCUGUUGGGAAAUUUGGAGGCAGGAGUUAUUUAAAGCUGUGGUCUGUCAGGAUUGUAACACCUAUAGAAACUGCCGGGCUUCUGUAGCUGAGAGCUACAUGUUGCAUAGGUAAGUUUCUUUAACAUUUGUUGGAAUUCGAUUAUUUAUUUAUUUAUCAUAUGCAUGUCUCUGCCAAGUUUUGUCUACUUUCCUAUUUUGGAAUGUUAAUGCUGUGCAGGGGAUUG